rnacentral:rRNA from 1 species
GACGAACGCUGGCGGCGUGCCUAACACAUGCAAGUGGAGCGACGAACCAGGGCUUGCCCUGGGGGCCAAGCCGCGAACGGGUGAGUAACACGUGGGUAACCUACCCCGGUGACCGGGACAACCCGAGGAAACUCGGGCUAAUACCGGAUGUGCUCUUCGCACAUAAGUGCGAUGAGCAAAGGAAGCUUCGGCCUCCGCACUGGGAGGGGCCCGCGGCCCAUUAGCUUGUUGGUGAGGUAAAGGCUCACCAAGGCAACGAUGGGUAGGCUGGUCUGAGAGGACGAUCAGCCACACUGGGACUGAGACACGGCCCAGACUCCUACGGGAGGCAGCAGCGGGGGAAUCUUGCGCAAUGCGCGAAAGCGUGACGCAGCAACGCCGCGUGGGGGAA